ACAACAGUCAGGCUUUGACAUCUUUGCCAAUCCUUUCACCACCGAUGUCUGCACUGCACCCCAACACCUUCAGAUGGAGCUAAUUGAGCUUCAAAGCGACAGUGGCCUGAGAGCAAAGUUCCAGGAUGCUGCAAUCCAGGACUUUUACCGUCUGAUGCCCCCUGGUUUGAUGCCACAGCUUCGACUUCAUGCUGCCCGUGUUCUGUCCAUGUUUGGAAGCACCUAUUUGUGCGAACAGUUUUUUUCCAUAAUGAAUCUGAACAAAAACAAGCACAGAUCACGCCUCACGGAUGACAACCUCCAUGCUGUUCUACGCAUUGCCUCAGCACAGGACCUAAAGCCAGACAUUGACACACUGGCAAAGGAAAAACGGUGUCAGACAUCUGGUCAGAAAAACACAGAACAUGAUCAACGAUAGUAGAGAGAGAAUCCACUUGGUGUGUUCAAGGACAGGCAGCAUCUCCUCAUCAAAGACUAACCAAAAAACUUGAGUAAUAUAGUUGUGAACUGAAUCAACCUUUAUUUUGGUAUUUUUAGUUGAUUAUAUAUUAUUUAUGUAUAGCUGCUGUUGUAAUUAUUUAGUGUUUGCAGGUCUUAUGUGUGUAUGCAGGCAAAUUGUUGUCAUCAAACCAUCAGUUGGAUGCAAGGCUGUGUGUAGCCUUUUUUUGUAAAAUGCUACAUGUGUCAUACAUGUUCUUUGCAGCUCAGUUUUAGGAUGUCUUCAAAGCUAUUUGACUACUUGUUAUUUUUCUUUAUUCACUUGGACAGUUUGAUCCUUCAUUAAUGGAGUUAUGUGGGUUUUCAUAAGCUGACAAAAUUUAAAAGGAUUUAUGUUAGAGCAACAAGCAAACAUAUGUUUUCUAUGCAACUGUAAUUGUCACUUGAAUAAGUUAUAAUAAAUAAUGAGUUAUUUAACAUUAA